CCUUACGGUUGUAAAGCACUAACAAAAGGAAAGAAGAACUCAUGGGCAAUACCCGUGAGCUUGACAUUACCUUUAGAAGAAGCACCGGCUAACUCCGUGCCAGCAGCCGCGGUAAUACGUGAGGGUGCAAGCGUUAAUCGGAAUUACUGGGCGUAAAGCGCGCGUAGGCGGCUAACUAAGUCAAAUGUGAAAUCCCCGAGCUUAACUUAGGAAUUGCAUUCGAUACUGGUUAGCUAGAGUGUGGGAGAGGAUGGUAGAAUUCCAGGUGUAGCGGUGAAAUGCGUAGAGAUCUGGAGGAAUACCGAUGGCGAAGGCAGCCAUCUGGCCUAACACUGACGCUGAGGUGCGAAAGCAUGGGGAGCAAACAGGAUUAGAUACCCUGGUAGUCCAUGCCGUAAACGAUGUCUACUAGCCGUUGGGGCCUUUGAGGCUUUAGUGGCGCAGCUAACGCGAUAAGUAGACCGCCUGAGGAGUACGGUCGCAAGACUAAAACUCAAAUGAAUUGACGGAGGCCCGUACAAGCGGUGGCGCAUGUGGUUAAAUUCGAUGCAACGCGAAGAACCUUAACU
rnacentral:rRNA from 1 species